GACAGAGGUGCCGAGCGUUAGGCGGAAUCACUGGGCUUAAAGCGUGUGUAGGCGGGCCGUUAAGUGUCUUGUGAAAUCCCCCGGCUCAACCGGGGAAUUGCUGGGCAUACUGGCGGUCUUGAGCGAUCUAGGGGCAGAUGGAACAAGUGGUGGAGCGGUGAAAUGCGUAGAUAUCAUUUGGAACGCCAACGGAGAAAUCAGCUCGCUGGGGGUGUGCUGACGCUGAGACACGAAAGCCAGGGGAGCGAACGGG
rnacentral:rRNA from 1 species